rnacentral:lncRNA from 1 species
CUAGCUCUUCUCAUCACAACUAAUGACAUAUAAUAGAUUAUUCAUGUUUUACAAGUACGAUAAUAGAUAUAGGUUAGCUUUGCGGGAUAGCAAAAAUAAAGUUUUUAUUGAUCUUAAAUGAUUUGAUCAUUGAAAUGAAAAAAAAAAAAUGUUCUUACUCAUUCAACUUAAAUCUCUCAAAAAUAGUAAUGGAAAAUAAAAGAAAUCCGAAAGAAAGAUUCCAUGUCAUAUUUUUUUCAUUAAUUCUAUGACAAAAUUGAUUACAGUAUUUUUAUUUAUGCUAGUGAGAUUUGUCCUUAC